UACAGGGGGGGCAAGCGUUGUUCGGAAUUACUGGGCGUAAAGCGCACGUAGGCGGCUUUCUAAGUCGGGGGUGAAAUCCUGGAGCUCAACUCCAGAACUGCCUUCGAUACUGGAGAGCUCGAGUCCGGGAGAGGUGAGUGGAACUGCGAGUGUAGAGGUGAAAUUCGUAGAUAUUCGCAAGAACACCAGUGGCGAAGGCGGCUCACUGGCCCGGUACUGACGCUGAGACGCGAAAGCGUGGGGAGCGAACAGG
rnacentral:rRNA from 1 species